GGGCGUAUGGUCUAGAGGUAUGAUUCCUGCUUUGGGCCUUUGAAACUCUUAUGCAGGAGGUCCCCGGUUCAAUCCCGGGUGCGCCCC